CAUUGAUUGAGCUCAUCAUAAAUGAACACACAGUGAAUCACAGAAUGACAGCUUGCGUAAUGAGACUUUAUUUCAGGACCCUGGACAGCAGCUGAUUAAGUUGGUCACAAGCAGGCUCCAAACAGUCUGGUUUGUUUAUUAGUAUUUUGUUUGUUAUCACUUCCUGCUUUUUUUUCUAAGAAACACCAGGAAUUUUAUAAAUCGACAGAUAGAAUCUGUCCACCCACCAAAACUACAAGUGCAUUAGGAAAAAGGAAAUACGUAAAGUAAUAAUAAUCCCACACUUUAAUCACGAAACAAG